CCCGCUCAUGAUGUUGCCAAUAACGCGGCCGCGAAUUGCCUCUGGCGCUAAAGCAGCGGCUAUCGGCACAAUCAUUUGAAUCGCGGACGCACAGGCGCCGAUACCGAAUGCGGCUAUUAGAAAUAGCAANNNNNNAGCGGCUGCGCUCAAGGCGACAACGCCCCCUACGAGGGUGAGCAAGACGACCCGCCGGUUCUCCG
rnacentral:misc_RNA from 1 species